GUCCUGCUCCAGAGAUCCCACAGAGUCCAUACUGACCCGGGUGAAGACACUGGGACAAACCUUCAAAGAACAUUACACCAACGACUCGGAGGACACGCCCGGCUCUCAUAUAGACUUUGCAGAGAACCGUUUAAAGCUGGCUGAGAUCCUCUACUACAAGAUCCUGGAGAACGUCAUGGUCCAGGAGACCAGACGGCUGCCUGGCAGAGACAUGAGCGUUUUGCUGGAGCAGGAUAUCUUCCACUGUUCCCUGAUGGCGUGCUGUCUGGAGGUGGUGCUGUUCGCCUACAGCUCCCAGAGGACCUUUCCUUGGAUCAUCAGUGUCCUCAAACAGGCUCCUUUCUACUUCUUUAAGGU